rnacentral:rRNA from 1 species
GAUGAACGCUGGCGGCGUGCCUAAUACAUGCAAGUCGAGCGAACAGAUGAGGAGCUUGCUCCUCUGACGUUAGCGGCGGACGGGUGAGUAACACGUGGAUAACCUACCUAUAAGACUGGGAUAACUUCGGGAAACCGGAGCUAAUACCGGAUAAUAUAUUGAACCGCAUGGUUGAAUAGUGAAAGACGGUUUUGCUGUCACUUAUAGAUGGAUCCGCGCCGCAUUAGCUAGUUGGUAAGGUAACGGCUUACCAAGGCAACGAUGCGUAGCCGACCUGAGAGGGUGAUCGGCCACACUGGAACUGAGACACGGUCCAGACUCCUACGGGAGGCAGCAGUAGGGAAUCUUCCGCAACGGGCGAAAGCCUGACGGAGCAACGCCGCGUGAGUGAUGAAGGUCUUCGGAUCGUAAAACUCUGUUAUUAGGGAAGAACAAAUGUGUAAGUAACUAUGCACGUCUUGACGGUACCUAAUCAGAAAGCCACGGCUAACUACGUG